rnacentral:sRNA from 1 species
ACAAUGUUCAGUCAGUAUGUAGAACUGAACAUGGUUUAUCUACAAGACCCACUUUUUUAAAACCACGUUCAUGUUUGGAUAAACCACGUUCAACUAACUGUAACCCGUUCUAGUAGGCAACUUUUUAUUCAAUCAAAUAAUUAUGUCAGCCACGAGAGAAAUUCAUUAUCACUGCACAAGAAAGAGAAAAAAAAGAAAAGAAAUACAGGAGAAAGAAAACUAAACGAAGAAGCGUAUGGUAUGUAUGUCCCUCAAGCAAACGAAGGAGGAAUGAUACGAAAGACAUGAUCAGUAGAUCAGUAGAUCCCUAUCUAGAACUCCUAUCCGCCUCGUCCCUGCAGUAGAUACAACCAAUCAUAAGAUACGAUGGAGGGAACGACGGUGGAAGAUGUCAAAUAGUAUGUACGCUGAUGUAUACAGUUCACUGAAAGAUGAUAACAUUCCACGAAAAAAAAUUUAAAAAAAAUAGAGGCAUGGCGCAGAAAACGAAGACGGGAGGGGAGGAAGGACCACAGGCCAGCUAAUGGUUAUAAAUAUAUAAUUAAAUGGAAAAGUAAAUUCAACAUAAAGGAACACGAAAAUCAAGUUGACCGUGAGGCAAGAGGACGUGAAUAAAACGGCAAGGUGGGGGAGAAUCUCAAGUAAAUAAAAUAAAAAACAAUGGUCCCAAUAUCUUUCCAUGCCCCAUAGAUAUAUAUAUACCCAGCCAAAUCCCAUCUAUCUCGAAACAGCCCAACGAAAACCAAAAAAAAAAAAAUAAUAAUAAUAAUAAAUAAAAUAGUAAAUAAUAAAUUUUUUUUAAAAAAAAAGACAAAAAACCAAAAUUCGAAUGAUCACACACA